AAGGAACAUACAGGACUGAUAGCGGUAGGGUAGAAGGAGUCUCCCUAAGUAUAUGGGACUUUGCUGGACAAGACAUAUACUACACAACCCAUCAGGUGUUUCUGACGUGGCGAGCCAUUUAUGUCAUUGUCUUUGAUCUCAGAAGUUUGUGUCCUGACGUUCCCCCUGACGAAAUGGCUAAAGGAGGUGCCAAAUCAGAACUGAAAUGUCUAGAGUUCAUCAAUUUCUGGUUGUGUUCCAUCUUCGCCCAUGCUGUGGCGCCUUCUUCAGUCAUCAACAAGAAAACGUCUAAAACCGCUGAGAUAUCUCCACCAAUAUUCAUUGUUGGAACGCAUCGAGGAAGUGUGAAAGGAGAUGUAAAAGUACAAUAGUGCU